ensembl:lncRNA
AAUCACCCCUCCAGGAGUCUCUUAAUCUAGUCAAGUUAACAACUGAGAUUAACUGGGACAGCUGGUGAUGAAAGGGGAGGCAUGCCUUCCUAGCAUGCCAAUGGCCCUGGGUUCAAUCCCCAGCACCACUGCCACCCAUUCCUUGAUUAACUUCUUAGGAUGAAAUGUUUCAAACAUCCACAAAUACAGUGGUUAAAGCUGCAUUUUAAACCAGGCCUCAUUUCACCAGUUCUGGAUUGCUGGCCCCCAACCUCCCCACUUGGAUCAGAAUCAAGGCAAUGAGUGGUGAUGAUGAUAAUUGUCAUAAUAAUAGCAUGACAACAGCUAACAUUACUGCCUACUGGGGCUUAUGCUAAUAACUAAAAAGUCCCUGAAACCUAAACAGCCCCACAAGGUAGGUGCCUUUAAAUGCCAAUUUCAUGGGUAAGGAAGCCAAGGCACAGAGAACUGAAGGUACCUGGGUGAGGUCACAUGGUAAGCAGCUCUGACUCUAGAAGCCAUAGUCCCCACAACCUCCACUCAUUCCAACCCAGGCUCCAGCUGGGCGGGUCGGCACCUAGAGCCUCUCCACCACCAUGGUCAGAGUGCCCACAAAAGUCUUCCCCUGGACAAGACUGGAUGGUGGGACUUCUCACCCCUUCAAAGGGAAGCUCUGGAAGAAUGGCUUGCCCUGAGUUUUCAUUGCCAUCAUUUCCUCCCUCACAACAAAAGCAAUAUAAGUUCACGGUAAACAACUGGAGGAAAUCAGAACGUCAUUUAGAAGAUAAGAUUAUUCUUCUCCCCGAGAUGACCACUUCUGAUAUCAUGGCGAAUGUCUCCUAGCCUUUUUAUUUUCUAUUCAUAAUCAUCAUAAUGACAUCCCCCAGCCAUAGGAUUUGCUUUUUCACUUUGCUAAAUGUUUGAUCCUGUGCUAAGUAUCUUGCGCACAUCAUUUCAUUUAACUCUCAGUACAAUCAAAUUUUAUUUACACACAUACUUUGCACGUGUGUGUGCACACAUCUAUUUUACGGAUAGAAAACAGGUACAGAGAGGUAAAGUAGUUAGUAUAGGGUCACCCAACUGGUUAAUAAUACAGCCACAUUCAAACUCACAACUAUUUCACUCCAAUAAUUUGAACUGUUUCCUUACAACUUUCUGAAACAGGAAUCACCAACCCAAUCCAACGCAGAAGAAGUCUAAGCUUUGUGAUAAUUCUGUACCAACCUCCAAAAGUGGUCCCAAUUUACACUUCUGCCAAUAGGGCCUAGGAAGGCCUAUUUUGUCCACAUUUUUGCCUACACUGGACUUUACUUUUUAAAAAACCUACCUGUUAUGUAUGCUAAUAAGAUGUGCCAUUGCUUUUUCCAAUGGCAUUUCUUUAAUUUCAUUGUCUUUAGCCUCUGUCUGAAACUGUGACCCAACUUGUUAGAGUCAAAUGUUUUGCCAGUCCUAUGUUGUCCUACCCUGUUGUCCUAUGUGUCAGCACAAGAGGCACAUAGGAGAAGCUGAGUGAUCAAGUUAAGGGGCCCACCUUUGACCUUAGAAACAAGUCUUACCUGGACACAGGGUGCCCUGGAAUGUAGGUAUCACUCAGCCUACCUGAUGGAUGAAGAAAUUGAGACAGGUGGCCUCCACUAAGUUUUUGAUUCUGGCACUUCCUCUCUGUCCCUAACCUGCAUUCUGCUAUGUGUAAAAUUAUUAUACAUGAAGCUUCAACUCCAUAUAAGAAAUAUGAAGAUGGCGCCUGCCUCACAAGAGCAAGGUCCCGAGUUCGAUCUCCGGUACCAAAAAAAAAAAAAGAAAUAUGAAGAGAACUACAGCACGGUAAAUCAUAAUCCAAUUGAUCAAAUUCAGUGGUAAAGAAAAGUCUUAUAAGUAGCCAUUAAAAAAAAAUUAAGCUAAAGGGCUGGGGAUUUAGCUCAGUGGUGCCGCCGCCUUCCUGGAAAGCGCAAGGUCCUGAGUUUGAUCCCUGGUACAAAAAAAAAAAAGAAGCAUGCUACAUACUGAGGAAAAAAAGAUAAGAGUUUUAGCAAAUUUUGUGUUAAACCAAUGCAAUGGAACAAUAUCUUUAAAGUACUGAAAGAAAAAAAAAUCUGUACAUUUGGAAUUCUAUGUCCAGUAAUAGUAACUUAAAAAAAAAUGACUUUUUCAGACAUGGAAUAAUGGAAAUAAUUCAUCACCAGCCGGUCUACACUAUAAGAAAUGUUAACGUCUUUCAGGCUAAAGGAAUAUGAUACUAGAGAGAAACACAGUUCUGCAAAAAGCAAUGAAGCAUACUAGAAAUGGAAAAGAUGAACAAAUUAAACCAAAACUAAGUAGAAGAAAAGAAAUAACAAAUAUCAGAAUAACAAAUCAAUAAAAGAGAAAAUAGAAAAAUCAGUGAAACAAAAGCUGGUUCUUUGAAAGGAUUGGUAAAUCUGAUAAGUACAUGGCCAAAUUGAUGGAAAAACUUAAAAUGAGAAAGAAAGAGACCAAGAUCAGACACAGAUUAUCAAUAUCACAAAUACAACAGGUGACAUCAUUCCAUAUUCUACAGAUACUAUAAAGAAAAUACAAUUUAAAACUUACUACAAAGCUACAAUAAUCAAAUCAGUGUGGAACUGUCACUAUCACUAAAGGACAGAUCAAUAGAACUAAAUUGAGAGUCUAGAAGAAAAACAACAACCC